GACGAACGCUGGCGGCGUGCCUAAUACAUGCAAGUAGAACGCACAGUUUAUACCGUAGCUUGCUACACCAUAAACUGUGAGUUGCGAACGGGUGAGUAACGCGUAGGUAACCUGCCUGGUAGCGGGGGAUAACUAUUGGAAACGAUAGCUAAUACCGCAUAAUAUUAAUUAUUGCAUGAUAAUUGAUUGAAAGAUGCAAUUGCAUCACUACCAGAUGGACCUGCGUUGUAUUAGCUAGUAGGUGAGGUAACGGCUCACCUAGGCGACGAUACAUAGCCGACCUGAGAGGGUGAUCGGCCACACUGGGACUGAGACACGGCCCAGACUCCUACGGGAGGCAGCAGUAGGGAAUCUUCGGCAAUGGACGAAAGUCUGACCGAGCAACGCCGCGUGAGUGAAGAAGGUUUUCGGAUCGUAAAGCUCUGUUGUAAGAGAAGAACGGGUGUGAGAGUGGAAAGUUCACACUGUGACGGUAUCUUACCAGAAAGGGACGGCUACUACGUG
rnacentral:rRNA from 1 species